rnacentral:rRNA from 1 species
UACGUAGGGUGCGAGCGUUAAUCGGAAUUACUGGGCGUAAAGCGUGCGCAGGCGGCUUCGCAAGUCAGACGUGAAAGCCCCGGGCUUAACCUGGGAAUGGCGUUUGAAACUACGGAGCUGGAGUGUGGCAGAGGGAGGUAGAAUUCCACGUGUAGCGGUGAAAUGCGUAGAUAUCGGGAGGAACACCAGAGGCGUAAGCGGCUUUCUAGGCGAUUACUGACGCUGAUGUACGAAAGCGUGGGGAGCAAACCGG